rnacentral:rRNA from 1 species
AUGUCCGCAGUCCGGCCGGCGUCUCGCAGCGGCGGUCAGCAGACUCUGACCCCAUCGUCGCCGACCUCCUCUCCGCGCCCGCUCCCCCCGCCUCCUCUCUCUCACCACGCUCUCCCUUGCCGAAGCGCUCCACUCCCUCCUCGCCGCGCGCCCUCCCACGCUCUUACCCCCGCCUCCCUCGGGCUCUUCCUCUCCCACCCCGGGUGCCACCGCCUCCCGCCCACCUCCGCGCGACUCCUCUCCAGGCUUCUUUCGCGCCCCUGCUCAUCCCCCGCCCAGGCAGCCGGAUUCCUCCGCGCCGGUCACCUCUCCGUUCAACGCCCCCUUGGCCGCGCUCGCCCGCGUCCUCGACCUCCUGGCACAACCCAGCUCCUUGCCUCCACGCGCAACGCCGCCGUCCGGCCCGACGUCGCCUGGUAUGGCAUGCUUGCCAACGGGCUCUGCAAAGCCGGCCGCGCUCAGGUCGCUCGAUGGAAUGCCCGGCCCAAACUCGCGCGUUCGCCCGGAUGUUGUCAUUCGUGCUGA